rnacentral:rRNA from 1 species
GACGAACGCUGGCGGCGUGCUUAACACAUGCAAGUAGAACGGAAAGGCCCUGCUUUUGUGGGGUGCUCGAGUGGCGAACGGGUGAGUAUCACGUGGGUAACCUGUCCUUGACUUUGGGAUAACUUCAUGAAACUGGGGCUAAUAUCGGAUAUGAGCUCCUGCUGCAUGUUGGGGGUUGGAAAGUUUCGGCGGUUGGGGAUGUACUCGCGGCUUAUCAGCUUGUUGGUGGGGUAGUGGCUUACCAAGGCUUUGACGGGUAGCCGGCCUGAGAGGGUGACCGGCCACAUUGGGACUGAGAUACGGCCCAGACUCCAACUGGAGGCAUCAGUGGGGAAUAUAGCACAAUGGGCGGAAGCCUGAUGCAGGAACUCCGCGUGCGGGAUGACGGCCUUCGGGUUGGAAACCGCGUUCGCCUGUGACGAAGCGUGAGUGACGGUAAUUGGUAAAGAAGCACCGGCUAACUACGUG